rnacentral:lncRNA from 1 species
UAAUAAUGGUUCAGUUAGCUGAUCUUAUGUAUGCUUGAAUGUAUGUGAACUGUGGUGCUGGUUUCUUUUAUACAUGAGAUUGGAGUUUUCGAUCUGUGGUUUUGGUUCUGUGGAGAUUUGGUUUUCUUGUAGUUAUGCAUCGUGGAUUUCUACCCCUCGAGGUAGCUGAUUUUCAAAAUAGAGUUUCCGUGUGGGAAACAGUUUUAAAAAGGUUUUCGAAUGGUUUUUAUGAAUGAAUGAAUUAGAGUUUAAAAACAAAAGCUUCCGUGUGGGGAGCACUUUUAAAUAGGAUGUUUGUUGUAUUGUGCAUUGCAUCAUCCAGCGCCUAAGGAGUGCUUAGAGGCAUGCAUCAUUCUAAGGAUUGUUAGCUGUAUGGAAUUGCAUAUCAUGCCUUGGUUGUUGAUUGGUAAAUGUAGGUUGUGGUUGAGAUCCUGUUGUAUAGCUGGUACGCCGUGCAAAUACAAAGGAGACUCUGUCCGAGUGGACAGAGGAACUUUGUAUUUGUGGCGGGUCUGUACGUCGCGUGGGCCAGGUUGAAAAAAAAAGAAAAAGAAAAUGGCACGUUUUCCGCAACUCUGUUAUUAAAAGGCUUUUAAAAUCGGCCCCGGGGCGUGACAAGUGUUGUGACCUCUUUAACU